CGGCGGGGGCGGGGCGCGCUGCGUCACUUCCGAGGCCCGAGGGACGAGGCGGGGGCGACCGGGGGCGGUCGGGGGCGGCGGUCGCCUCUGCAGCCCGCCCGCUCGGCAGAGCGGAGUAAAAGCCUGCGUCCCUGCGGGCAGACGCGGCUUCUUUUGUGUGUUAGGCCUGGGGUUUGGGGGCACGUCCCAGCUGUUUCCAGAGACUGUGUUUUCACGUUGCCUCUAGCACACUCCACCGUUUUGUAAUAUUUUCAUUUCUCAGUUUUUCUUACAAUUCUCACGGCCAAGGCUUCUAGAGAGGUGGAAGUUUUAUGUCCACGAUUAAAUACGAAGUGUAACCCAGCAUUCUGUGAGCGCCUUGAGAGUGAAAACAGCGUUCUUAACCCUGCAUCCCCAGAGACCCGCAGUUUUAUUUGCCUAGUAAACGUUGGAUUCCCGCGGAUUGUUAUCUUGAGUAAUUUGCAAGCCACUUAGGUUUUUUUGCAUGCUGUUUAUGUUUGCAUCUCUAUCUCCUGUCACCGGCUCCUUUCAUCUCCUCUUUCCCCGCUCUUUGCCCGCCGUUUUUUCCUCCUUAGAUCGCAGUUGGUUUUCUAACUUGAAUGCGGUCAUCCUAGAGACCACCACCCCCCCCCCCAAACGUGGAGGCAUCUUGAGGAAAGUGGCUUCCGUCUUAGAACCAUAGAAUGUCUGAGCGAGAAGGGAACUGGAAAAGGUGUCAUUAGGUCCAAACAUCUCAUCUUACAAAUGUGGGAACUGAGGCCAAAUACAAGUUCGAAGCCCACCAAAUUAGAGUGUGCUUGCUAAGAUACAGAAACCUUUCACGCAAUGGAAUGCUGAUGGAACUACUCAGGAAGCCAGAUGGGAGCUUGGUCAUACGGCAAGGACGCCGGAGCCAGACAAAGUGGCAGAGCAGACAACAAGCAGGGUGGAAUAUGGAUGCUCCUGUCUCGGGAAAGGAUUGGCUAGCAGCAAAGAAGCAGGCUCAGAAAGAAAUGUCAGAGGCAGUCUGUGCAGCGGAGGGUCAAGUGACAUCCUGCACGCUGGGUAGAACACGACAUCAGUCACGUUCCCACACAGGCUGGGGACUCCAGGAGAAGAAAGACACACUCUAUCUUGUCACUUGCUUCAGUAUGAAAGCUCUUUGUGAGCGGAAAUCUGUGGUAUUAAGGGGAACACUUUCCCGCCUGUGUGGACUGUAUACCAAUAAAGAUAUGUUAAGGAUUGGAAACAUAUUGCCUACCUACUCCUUGUACAGUUGUGUUCCUAUUGAUUAAAGGGCUUGCCGUCGGUAUCCUUUGUGGUUUGCUUCAUUGAUUCACAACCUUGAUUUCAAACCACUUUGUAA